AUGAACGCUGGCUACAGGCUUAACACAUGCAAGUCGAGGGGAAACGGCAUUGAGUGCUUGCACUGAAUGGACGUCGACCGGCGCACGGGUGAGUAACGCGUAUCCAACCUUCCCGUUACUGCGGGAUAACCUGCCGAAAGGCAGACUAGUACCGCAUGUUCUUCGAUGACGGCAUCAGAUUCGAAGCAAAGAUCCGUCGGUAACGGAGGGGGAUGCGUCUGAUUAGCUAGUUGGCGGGGCGACGGCCCACCAAGGCGACGAUCAGUAGGGGUUCUGAGAGGAAGGUCCCCCACAUUGGAACUGAGACACGGUCCAAACUCCUACGGGAGGCAGCAGUGAGGAAUAUUGGUCAAUGGGCGGAAGCCUGAACCAGCCAAGUAGCGUGCAGGAUGACGGCCCUACGGGUUGUAAACUGCUUUUAUGCGGGGAUAAAGUGAGGGACGCGUCCCUUUUUGCAGGUACCGCAUGAAUAAGGACCGGCUAAUUCCGUG
rnacentral:rRNA from 1 species